CAAGCCACAUGUUCCACACUCCCUAAACAU
rnacentral:piRNA from 1 species